GCAGGAUACGCAGUUUACAGACACACAGGGUAAACAUGGUGACGGUGGCAAGAACAUGCCGACCAAUACAAACGUCACUCCUAAAGCAACACCACACAUGGAUCCUGACGCGCCGAUAUUUGAUGCGACUCCGCAAAUCAAGUCUACUGGCGGCGUACAACAAGCGGCAGAAACAGACAUGCC